rnacentral:lncRNA from 1 species
UGAGAGCUCUCUAGUUCUGUAUGAGCUCAGCCAUGAUACGCCUUUCCUUCCAUAACAACAGUGACAUCUGGGUUCAAACAAAACUUGUUAAGCUUUUUGGAAAACUUUGUAGCGUUUAGAGCAGAUACAGCUCUUCUAAGCACCACCACCUGUGAGUGGCAAAGUACUGUCCCUUUGUGUCCCCGCUCUCCUCUGUGCGAGAGCAAAAUGUGUAAAUUUGAGCAAGUGCAUUUGUCAGGAGAAGUAACUGAAGUCUCUCAGUUCCAGCACCACCUUUGAACAGAAGAAUUGCUUGCCUUCGAGAGUUCGUGCCCCUGAGUCCUUCCCGUACGCCAUGUCAUGGAAAGACUAUUUCUUCUUCCAGUCACACCCAAACGAACGCAUGCGGCUGAAUCAGCCACUCGGUCUCCAGGCAGGAGCUGCUGCUCAGCACAUUGAGGUCCUUCAGGGACCACCAAGAAGAUGACCUGUGAAGCCCUGGCUCAGCAGUGCCAGAGGCCAAGCUGAUCUAUCAAUCAGCUACUUCAUACCUACAGCACGGGAUGAAAUU